CGUCAUGGUGGGAACUCUAAGGAGACUGCCGGUGAUAAACCGGAGGAAGGUGGGGAUGACGUCAAGUCAUCAUGGCCCUUAUGGGCUGGGCUACACACGUGCUACAAUGGUCGGUACAGAGGGUUGCAAAGCGGCGACGUGGAGCUAAUCUCAGAAAACCGGUCGUAGUCCGGAUUGCAGUCUGCAACUCGACUGCAUGAAGUCGGAAU
rnacentral:rRNA from 1 species